rnacentral:rRNA from 1 species
GAACGCUGGCGGCAGGCCUAACACAUGCAAGUCGAGCGCGAAAACACUUCGGUGUGAGUAGAGCGGCGGACGGGUGAGUAAUGCUUGGGAAUCUGCCCAGUAGUGGGGGAUAACGUGUGGAAACGCACGCUAAUACCGCAUACGUCCUACGGGAGAAAGCAGGGGAUCUUCGGACCUUGCGCUAUUGGAUGAGCCCAAGUCGGAUUAGCUAGUUGGUGGGGUAAUGGCCUACCAAGGCGACGAUCCGUAGCUGGUCUGAGAGGAUGAUCAGCCACACUGGGACUGAGACACGGCCCAGACUCCUACGGGAGGCAGCAGUGGGGAAUAUUGCACAAUGGGCGAAAGCCUGAUGCAGCCAUGCCGCGUGUGUGAAGAAGGCUCUAGGGUUGUAAAGCACUUUCAGUAGGGAGGAAAAGCUUAAGGUUAAUAACCUUGAGCCCUGACGUUACCUACAGAAGAAGCACCGGCAAACUCCGUGCCAGCAGCCGCGGUAAUACGGAGGGUGCGAGCGUUAAUCGGAAUUACUGGGCGUAAAGCGCGCGUAGGUGGUUUGAUAAGCUAGCUGUGAAAGCCCCGGGCUCAACCUGGGAACUGCAGUUAGAACUGUCUGACUAGAGUACAGUAGAGGGUGGCGGAAUUUCCUGUGUAGCGGUGAAAUGCGUAGAUAUAGGAAGGAACAUCAGUGGCGAAGGCGGCCACCUGGACUGAUACUGACA